GCACAAAGUCACACCGCACACGCAACAAAAAUAAAAAAGGCCACGAGAUAGAAAGCAGCUGGCCUCCCCUCCCCCGCUCCUCCUCAUGUCUAAAGCCUCGCCAAACCUCUCUCAUCCCAUCUCCGAGCUAGGAUCCUGCAGUCCUGAAUCCCGAUCCAUGUCCUAGCUAGCCCCCAGCACGACGCACGCGGCAGGGGUGGUGGCGAGUGUCGGGGAUCGGCCGUCGUAUUGGGUGGUGCGGUGAGGAUGAGGAAGGCUGCCGCCGUGGAGAUAUUGAACGCAUCGCAGGAUCCGUUUCGGUGUUGCUGGAUCUGUGGAGAGCGGCGUCGUCGACUCGAUCAGGUUAUCAUUGUUCUCAAGAAAGGGGCAUACCUAUUGGAAUUUGGGCAUAGAAGGAAGCCAAAAUUUUGUGUUCUUGGACUUUACGGAUGGAUCAGUACUAAUAUGGUUCUCAUGGAAUGAGGAGAAGUGGUUAACGUCAAACCAUGUGUCCAGAGACCAGAAUGAUUCCUUGCGACAGAAUACUUGUGUUCCUCUAUUUGACGCUAAAGGUGGGUGCCCCCAUUGAAACACUUCACAAAUGUUGCUGUUGCAUUUGGUAGUAUUCGUACCUUUAGCGUCAAGAGACGAACACACUUGCCCAUCGAAAACGACAAGGUGUGUAGUGUUGGAACAAGAAGAGAACCACAUAUUUAGAUCCUAUAGGUGCAACUAGGCGAGUCUAGGCUUUAGCAUAUAACACAUACAAAGUUCUAUCAAACAGCCCAGUUUAGAUAUUCUCCCACUCCACUAACACCAUAUAUACCUAGGUCAACUAUGUGCUACACUAUCUCUCUAUCUUCGCUCAACCAUCACUGUUGGUGGUUCCUAUCAUGUAUCUCUCUCCCCUUCGCCUAACCCCGCUCGACACUCCUCCACCCUAGCUAGGAACCUCCAGCCAAUGUACCUUCCUCCACCACUACUUCCAAUGUCAUAGUCACCCGCAUGCAUCCGUGCCUUAGGUGGGACUUGGAUGCCUUUUAUUGUCAUUGGGCUGGUAACACAUAAGGUACCACCUAUCCCAAUCUAGGUGGUAUCCCUCCACCUAGCACAGGGGCACACCCAAAGGAACAUGGAGGAGCGCCUUACUUAAUACUCAUACUAAGACAAAUUUGAUAUUUGGCCAUGCAUACUUCCUAUCAAGGGACAAUUAAUCCAACUAGUCAAUUUGUAAAACAUAUAUUUUAGUUCACUCUUCAUAAUAUCAUAUUAGAAUCCUCCCUCUUCCUCACUCUCACCUACUCUUUUCCGUAUGCAAGUGUGUUCCUCUAUUAGAUGCUAAAGGUUGGUGCUCCUUUUGAAACACCACAAAUGUCCUUGUUGCAUUUGGUAGUAUUCUUACCUUUAGCGUCAAGAGACGAACACACUUGCCCACCGAAAAGGACAAGGUGCGCAGUGUUCGAAUGAGAAGAGAACCACCUAUUUAGAUCCUAGGCACACCUACCUGAGCCUUCGCUUUACAAUAUGAAAUACACACAAAGGCUCAUCAAACAACCCAAAGCCAUUGUAUUAUGUUCUCCAACCCCACUAACACCUUAUAUACUUAUGUCUCCUCUAUGCUCUACUAGAUAUUUAUCCCAUAUCGAUCGCUAUCGCUCACUUAGCUUGACGCUCCUCCACCCCUACUGUCUACCUCCGCCCACUGUCCCUCCCUCCACCACCACCACUAAUACCAAAGUUAACCCCAAUUCGUUCAUGCCUUGGAUAGAUUUGAGCGCCUUCUGUUGCCCUCGGGCAGGCAUCGCAGAGGGUACCACCUAUCCCAAGCUACGCUCUACCAUCCGCUUAGUGCAGAGGCAUGCCUAGGCAAGAAUGAAAGAGCACCUUGUUGAACACUAGUACUAGGAGAUGUUUGAUUUUUGGCCAUGCAUACUUUGUCCCAAGGGGCACUAAGUCCAACAAGUCAAUUUGUAAAAUUCACUCUUAAUAAUAUCAUAAUUUAAUCCUCUCUCCCAUAGUCUCACCUACUCUUUUCCGUAUGCAAGUGUGUUCCUCUAUUUGAUGCUAAAGGUGGAUGCUCCUAAUGAAACACUUCAAAAAUGUUGUUGUUACAUUUUGUAGUAUUCUUACCUUUAGCGUCAAGAGAGGAACACACUCGCCCACCGAAAAUGACAAGGUGUGCAGUGUUGGAAUAUGAAAAGAACCACCUAUUUAGAUCCUAUAGGUGCAACUAGGCGAGUCUAGGCUUUAGCAUAUAAACACAUAAAAAGUCCAAUCAAACAACCCAACUCAGAUGUUCUCCCACUCCACUAACACCUUAUAUACCUAGGUCAACUCUGUGCUGCAAAAGGUCUCUAUUUUGGCUGAACCACCACUGUCAGUGAUUCCUAUCAUGUAUCUCUCUCCCCUUCGCCCGACCCUGCUCGACACUCCUCCACCCCGACAAGCAACCUCCAACUAAUGUACCUUCCACCACCACUGCUGCCGCCAAUGUCAUAGUCACUGGCAUGCAUCCAUGCCAUAGGUGGAUUUGGACACCUUUUAUUGUCAUUGGGUUGGUAACACAUAGGGUACCGCCUAUCGCAAUCUAGGUGGCACCCGUCUACCUAGCACAGAGGCAUGCCUAGAUGAACCUUGAAGAGCACCUUAUUUAAUACUCAUACUAGGACACACUUGUUUUUUGGCCAUGCAUACUUCCUAUCAAGGGACACUUAGUCUAACUAGUCCAUUUGUAAACAUAUAUUUUAGUUCACUCUUCAUAAUCUCAUAUUAGAAUCCACCUUCUCUCCCACUCUCGCCUACUCUUUUCCGUAUGCAAGUGUGUUCCUCUAUUUGACGCUAAAGGUGGGUGCCCCCAUUGAAACACUUCACAAAUGUUGCUGUUGCAUUUGGUAGUAUUUGUACCUUUAGCGUCAAGAGACGAACACACUUGCCCAUCGAAAAGGACAAGGUGUGUAGUGUUGGAAUGAGAAGAGAACCACCUAUUUAGAUCCUAUAGGUGCAACUAGGCGAGUCUAGGCUUUAGCAUAUAACACAUACAAAGUUCUAUCAAAUAGCCCAGUUUAGAUAUUCUCCCACUCCACUAACACCUUAUAUACCUAGGUCAACUAUGUGCUACACUAGGUCUCUAUCUUCGCUCAACCAUCACUGUUGGCGGUUCCUAUCAUGUAUCUCUCUCCCCUUCGCCUAACCCCGCUCGACACUCCUCCACCCUAGCUAGGAACCUCCAGCCAAUGUACCUUCCUCCACCACUACUUCCAAUGUCAUAGUCACCCGCAUGCAUCCGUGCCUUAGGUGGGACUUGGAUGCCUUUUAUUGUCAUUGGGCUGGUAACACAUAAGGUACCACCUAUCCCAAUCUAGGUGGUACCCCUCCGCCUAGCACAGGGGAACACCCAAAGGAACAUGGAGGAGCGCCUUACUUAAUACUCAUACUAAGACAAAUUUGAUAUUUGGCCAUGCAUACUUCCUAUCAAGGGACAAUUAAUCCAACUAGUCAAUUUGUAAAACAUAUAUUUUAGUUCACUCUUCAUAAUAUCAUAUUAGAAUCCUCCCUCUUCCUCUCUCUCACCUACUCUUUUCCGUA